rnacentral:tRNA from 1 species
GGAGAGAUGUCCGAGCUGGUCGAAGGAGCACGAUUGGAAAUCGUGUAAGCCGCCACAAGCGGUUUCUGGGGUUCGAAUCCCCAUCUCUCCGCCA